AGUCAUAUGCUUGUCUCAAAGANUAAGCCAUGCAUGUCUAAGUAUAAGCAAUUUAUACAGUGAAACUGCGAAUGGCUCAUUAAAUCAGUUAUCGUUUAUUUGAUAGUUCCUUUACUACAUGGAAUACCUGUGGUAAUUCUAGAGCUAAUACAUGCUUAAAAUCCCGACUGUUAUGGAAGGGAUGUAUUUAUUAGAUAAAAAAUCAAUGUCUUCGGACUUUUUGAUGAUUCAUAAUAACUUUUCGAAUCGCAUGGCCUCGUGCUGGCGAUGGUUCAUUCAAAUUUCUGCCCUAUCAACUUUCGAUGGUAGGAUAGUGGCCUACCAUGGUUUCAACGGGUAACGGGGAAUAAGGGUUCGAUUCCGGAGAGGGAGCCUGAGAAACGGCUACCACAUCCAAGGAAGGCAGCAGGCGCGCAAAUUACCCAAUCCUAAUUCAGGGAGGUAGUGACAAUAAAUAACGAUACAGGGCCAUUGGUCUUGUAAUUGGAAUGAGUACAAUGUAAAUACCUUAACGAGGAACAAUUGGAGGGCAAGUCUGGUGCCAGCAGCCGCGGUAAUUCCAGCUCCAAUAGCGUAUAUUAAAGUUGUUGCAGUUAAAAAGCUCGUAGUUGAACUUUGGGUUUGGUUGACCGGUCCGAUUUUUUUCGUGUACUGGCUUCGACUGAAUCUUUCCUUCUGGCUAACUAAUGGGGUUUACUCUAUUAGCGAACCAGGACUUUUACUUUGAAAAAAUUAGAGUGUUCAAAGCAGGCGAUAGCUCGAAUAUAUUAGCAUGGAAUAAUAGAAUAGGACGUUUGGUUCUAUUUUGUUGGUUUCUAGGACCAUCGUAAUGAUUAAUAGGGACGGUCGGGGGCAUCAGUAUUCAAUUGUCAGAGGUGAAAUUCUUGGAUUUAUUGAAGACUAACUACUGCGAAAGCAUUUGCCAAGGACGUUUUCAUUAAUCAAGAACGAAAGUUAGGGGAUCGAAGAUGAUCAGAUACCGUCGUAGUCUUAACCAUAAACUAUGCCGACUAGGGAUCGGGUGGUGUUUUUUUAUGACCCACUCGGCACCUUACGAGAAAUCAAAGUUUUUGGGUUCUGGGGGGAGUAUGGUCGCAAGGCUGAAACUUAAAGGAAUUGACGGAAGGGCACCACCAGGAGUGGAGCCUGCGGCUUAAUUUGACUCAACACGGGGAAACUCACCAGGUCCAGACACAAUAAGGAUUGACAGAUUGAGAGCUCUUUCUUGAUUUUGUGGGUGGUGGUGCAUGGCCGUUCUUAGUUGGUGGAGUGAUUUGUCUGCUUAAUUGCGAUAACGAACGAGACCUUAACCUUUAAAUAGUUCUACGCGGCUUUUUGCUCGUUUGAACUUCUUAGAGGGACUAUCGAUUUCAAGUCGAUGGAAGUUUGAGGCAAUAACAGGUCUGUGAUGCCCUUAGACGUUCUGGGCCGCACGCGCGCUACACUGACGGAGCCAGCGAGUGUAUCCUUGGUCGAGAGACCUGGGUAAUCUUGUGAAACUCCGUCGUGCUGGGGAUAGAGCAUUGCAAUUAUUGCUCUUCAACGAGGAAUUCCUAGUAAGCGCAAGUCAUCAGCUUGCGUUGAUUACGUCCCUGCCCUUUGUACACACCGCCCGUCGCUAGUACCGAUUGAAUGGCUUAGUGAGGCUUCCGGAUUUGCUUAGAAGAAGGGGCAACUCUUUUUCAGAGCGGAGAAGCUAGUCAAACUUGGUCAUUUAGAGGAACUAAAAGUCGUNNCAAGGUUU
rnacentral:rRNA from 1 species